AGCUCAGUUGGUAGAGCAUGGUGUUUGCAAUGCCAGGGUUGUGGGUUCGAUUCCCAC
rnacentral:tRNA from 1 species